GCGAAUAUAGCUCAGUUGGUAGAGCAACCGCCCGAUAAGCGGUAGGUCCCUGGUUCGAGCCCAGGUAUUCGCACCA
rnacentral:tRNA from 1 species